GGGAUAUCCAUGUGUUCAGCUGAUCUGCCGUAUGUGAAAGAGAGAGGAGCGGGGCACACUUUCUGUUCCUCUCGGAAUUCAAGUCCCCGUCACGGUCACCAUCCAGCUUCCUCUCAGAAUGCAAGUCCCCUUCACGGUAACCAUCCAACUGACUCUCUGCAUGCAAGUCCCCGUCAUGGUCAUCAUUCAGGUUCCUCUCAGAUUGUAAGCCCCCCUCGUGGUCACCAUUCAUCCUCCAGCCAAGGGAAAAGAAUUGAGCCAACGGCCAGGCACCAUGGCUUUCCGGUGGACGAAUGGAACGAGCGGUGGUCAGAAGACAGACGUGAUUCGUAAGCCAAUCAGUCGGCCAUGACAGGAUACACCAGACAGUACAAUAGUUGAUGCAACCUGCAAAGACAAUGACAUCGUGCCUAUACUGUUUAAAAAAAACUUGAAACACUACAGACAGUGCCUAAAUUUAGGCUACAUUAUGCAGUUUACUUUUCUACAUGUUUUUAAAUUAAUAAAUGUCUUAUUUCUCUCCCUAUAAUAAGGUUGGUUAUCUGCGGUUGAAACAGUCAGAAGUGUGUAUUAUAUACCAUGUACAUUGUUACUCUUGACACCUAACAUGCUGACCAAACCGCCCGCUUGCGUGGGUACGCCAUCGCGUGCAAGUUGAUUUUGUUCACCCACACCAGAAGCGAUGAGGACACGCAGGUUGAAAUAUCAAAACAAACUCUAAUUAGAUUAAUUUGUGGACAGGUCAAAAAGCAUUAAACAUGUAUGGCAAUUUAGAUAGCUAGCUUACUGUUGCUAACUAAUUUGUCCUGGUUCAGUGGGGCAAAAAAGUAUUUAGUCAGCCACCAAUUGUGCAAGUUUUCCCACUUAAAAAUAUGAGAGAGGCCUGUAAUUUUCAUCAUAGGUACACUUCAACUAUGACAGACAAAAUGUGAAAAAAAAUCCAGAAAAUCACAUUGUAGGAUUUUUAAUGAAUUUAUUUGCAAAUUAUGGUGUAAAAUAAGUAUUUGGUCACCUACAAACAAACAAGAUUUCUGGCUCUCACAGACCUGUAACUUCUUCUUUAAGAGGCUCCUCUGUCCUCCACUCGUUAUCUGUAUUAAUGGCACAAUGAUUGAUUAACAUGUAUGUUUACAUUUAUUUUGCAACGCUCGCGCAUGCGAAGAAAGCGGUGUGGUCAGCAUGUAAGGGUGAUUGGUGUUUGGUUAUCCGUAUUCCUACAGUAUUGUUUGCCUGCAUUGUUAGGCCAUCAUCAUAAUGAUGGUAUUGUAAAUUGUAUUUUGUUUGUUUACAGUAUUUUUUGACUACCUAUUGCAGCCAGAACCAAAGCUAAAGGGGAGAAACCAGACGAGUUUCUGUUGUCCCAUACACAAAACAUGUCAAUUGUAACAGGUGUUUUUUAACACUGGUGAUAAAUGUAUCAUAUAUGUCUGACAUCAAAUGAUAUUUGAAAGCUGUUGUCUUUUGUUUACUGUGGUUCCUUGCACUGGUUUAUAGUUAUCUGUGGCUAUAGAUGAUGUUUGUAGUUAAAUCAACUGAUGCUGCUGAUGUUUCAGGUAUUGAGGAAUGUAUGUAGUUUACAGGUCACUGGUUUUAUACUUCGUCUUAAAGUUGUCAAUCCCAUGUUUUGUUUUUAAUAUGGGUCCAUUUUUUGUACGUUUUGAUGGUGUAUUGUUUCAUAUAUACUCCUCUGAUGUUUCCUGUAUUGUUAUGGCACUGAAAUAAUAUAAAUAUAGAAAAUAUGUUGUUGUUACCUAUCCUCUCAGGCUACCCAGCAUCCAAUGAAGGUAAUUGUAGUAUUAUUUACCUUCACCACCAGUCAAAGACCACAUUUGAGACACACACAGUUACACCACCAGAGGGAAGCAAAGUACAAUGUUCCUUUCAUUUCAGUCACUCGCUUGUGCAAGGCUUCUUUCUCGGGUUCUCCAAUGUGUUGAGACUUGAAAGACUCACAUACGUGAAUCGAUCAGAACAGAUAACAGAGGGGAGUCUUCAGUCAUAUUUUCUGUUUCUACACAACACUUAUUGUAUAUUUAUUGGAGAAAGCCAAACAGAAACUGCUGCCUGUACACUACCGGUCAAAAGUUUUAGAAAACCAAAUGAUUCAAGGGUUUUUCUUUAUUUUUUU
ensembl:lncRNA